AAAGGCAAGACCCAGGAACUUUAUCUGGGACUCUGUUGUGGAUGACAGGAACCCAGGUCCUAGGGAUAUCAUCCACUGCCUUUCAAGGCACAUUGAUAGGUAGCUGGUUUGAUAACUCAGAGUAGCUGACUUAAACCAGGCACUCCAAUAUGGGGUGGGAGUGUUCCAAGUGGUUGCCAUUCCUGAUGUGUCACAAUGCCUAAUUCAGGAACUUUUGCACCUCAUAAAAAUUUUAGAAUCAAUUUGUUCACAUUUCUCUUCCCCCCAAAAAAGUUAUUGGUAGUUUGAAUGUAAUUGCAUUAUCUUUAUAUUUCAGUGGACAAAUAUUCAAGAUUUUCAAUACCGAAUGGCUGCAACGGAUGGUGCUGUGCCGAUCUGAAGCCAGGAACCAGGAGCUUCUUCCAGGUCUCCCACAAGAUGGUGCUGAGAAGUGAGUAAGUCGUGAGAACUCUGCUCUCAAGCGAGGACAUGGGGACAAGGCACCAUCUAUUAACUGGAAAGCAGGCUCUCACCAGACCCGGAUAUGUCAGCUCUUUGAACUUAAACUUUCCAAAUGCCAGAACUAUGAGAAAUAAAUUUCUGUUGGUAAUAACCUUAACCUAUUUAAUUUACAUUGUUACAACAGCCCAAGCAUACGAACAUAGUUUAGCAUGAGUAGAAACUGCCAAUUUUUUUUCCCCAAGGUGAUUAUAAUAAUGUGUAUUUCAGUGGCCGUGUAGAAAGACUUUCCCUUUUAUUUAUUUUUUUGCCAAACUUUAGUAUCUAUCUUUACU